rnacentral:lncRNA from 1 species
CAUUUCUUUCUUAUUUUCCCGGCGUCUUAAUUAUCACCAGCGGGAUGGACAGGAAGAAAAGUCUGGAAGACACAUUUAGGAACUUUGUCAUCGAUGCAGUUGUUUCCUGAUAACGGAUGGAGUGCCUGCUGUAUUGAGAUUAUGGGUGUGGGCCACAGUGCCCAGCCAGAUGUAUCUUCUAAUCCACCAAGGGAAUCUGAACUGUUAAUUAAUUGUUAAUUGUUAAAACAUUGCUGGGCAAAAUAGCCCCGACAUGCCGCUUGAAGCACCUGGGCAGCUCAGACAUGAACUUCCUAAACCAUGAAAAACAAGACAACAAAGAGGAUGGAAGACAGGGAGGAAAAAGUCAUCAAAGGAAAGCAGCGAGAAACCGAGAAACUGGUGUGUACUGGAUCAGAGUGAAUAAGCAGAUGUGGUUGGAAGCAUACUAUUGAUGAAAAUCACCUCAGCUAAUAGACGUAGCUCAACCAAAACAUUGGCUUACACAAUUUGCUGGAAUUCUCUGUCUUCCACUAGCGGGCUUCAGCAGAAGAUCUGAACUCUCAGCUCCUCCUGCACCAUGCCUGUCUGGAUGCUGCCAUGCUGCCACCUUGAUGAUAAUGGACUCCUGCACCAUGCCUGCCUGGAUGCUGCCAUGCUGUCACCUUGAUGAUAAUGGACUGAACCUCUGAACCUGUAAGCCAGCCCCAAUUACAUGUUGUCCUUAUAAGAGUUGCCUUGGUCAUGGUGUCUGUUCACAGCAGUGAAACCCUAGCUAAGAGAGUGAAUUCAGAUGUAGAAAUCUCCUUCAUCAGCAUCAUGUCUGCCUGCACGCUGCCGUGCUUUCCUCCGUGAUGACACGGAUUGAUCCUCUGAAACUGUAAACCAGCCCCAAUCAAACGCUUUUUAAUACAAGAGUUGCCAUGGUAAUGUGUUUCUUCAUAGCAAUAGGUCGCUAAGACCAGUGGUGUCUUGUUUUCCUGGUUAUUCAUGUUUCUUAGAGUCUUUUGUAGUUAUCUGUACAUUUGCACAAGAGAUUCUUUCCUCCAGGGUUUAUCAACUAUCUCUGACAUAGUGAUUAACUUUACCUCUGAGCUGGGGUGCAUUAAAGCAUACUUUGACUCUAAACCUAGUGAGCCAGGGCACGUGUGGAGGCUUUCAGUUCAGAGGGUAAUGAAUGUGUCUAUCAGCUCACACAGCUGGUAUCCAAAGUGUUGACAACUUGGCAGUCCUAUGCUGCGAGGACUGUUAGGGAUCCAGUGGCAAGGGCAGCAAUGGAGACAUGGGACACUCAGAUGCGUACACUUGGCCUCAAAGGCCAGCUGCAGGUAUCUGCUGGGUGACAAGUUUGGUGGCAGGCAAGUGCACAGCGGGAAAGUUUAGAGCACGAGAGGCUCAGAAGCCAUAGCUUGUAAAGGCAAAUAAAGACUCUUGGCUACAGAUUAAUGGAGUCCUCUUUGGAGCAAUGUUUUAAUUCUGUCACAUUAAAUAUUGUGAGUCCUCAGUGGUGAAAGUGUGAGGAGUUUGCAGCAGCUCCUGGGUCUGUUAAGUUUCCAGCAAAGAUGGCUCCAGAGUCCUCUUCUGAGGAGACUCUAAGGACAGCCAAGUCACAUACUCUAUUGCUGUCUCUUUUGCUCCGAGCUAUUUCCAGAUGCAUACUAUGCCAUUCUUCCUUAGUGAUCUGGGGAGAUCACCAGGCGAGUCUUUGAAAAGGUGUUCUGAAAGUUUGUGGGAUAUGGCUGUUCACCCAGCCUUUCUUUUUCUUAAGAGGGCAGUUCAUGGGCUGGUUAGUUUCUUCUCAGCCAGGGUAGUGAUGGGUUGGGGAGAGGUGUGUGAGUCAGGCAAAAUGAACCAUUUGCCCAUUGUUUUGAGGCAUUUUACUUGGGCGUUCUUCCUCCACCGUAUGCCUAUAUCUUUUACAAUGAUCACCCCCCAGUACUUCCAGAGAUAUUUACCUUCCUCGAUAGUUCAUUUGGUGGGGAGGGAGGAUGUUGUAAAAUCUGAUAUCUUACUCCAAUGUAUUGCUGUCAUCGAUUGCUACUGCCUGAUUGGAAAGCGUGACUCUAAAUCCCAGCCCUGCCUAUAACUCCAGUUUCAGUGAGUUUGGCACCCUCUCUUGGUCUUUAAAGCUCUUGCACAUACUCUCUUGUACACGUGCUCAUAAACUCAUGCAGGCUCGAACAGGUUCACAUAACUGAAAAAUAAAAAUCUUUUAAAAA